rfam:Erythranthe guttata cultivar DTN x IM62 scaffold_62_contig_30, whole genome shotgun sequence.
GCUCGAAUAGCUCACUUGGUUAGAGCGUGUGGCUGUUAACCACAAGGUCGGAGAACCUCCUUCUAGCG